GUGGUAUGGCUGGAGGAUUGUUUUUAUUUCGCAAUGGUUAUCAUCUGAUUAAUGUUCCAUGUGUCAAUAAUAGGACACUAAUAUAACAUUAGUGAGAGCCUAAAUGCUUGGCAGGUCACUAAGACCUUAGUGAAUUGGGACGCGGCCAGUGUAAGUGGAAUGCAGGUAAGAAGUGGGUCUGGUGCAGAGGGGGAAGAUAAAGGGGGACGCACCCAGGUGAGCUCACCUCCACUUUGGGCAAAACAAAGAGGGCGCCGUAUUGUUUGGCGUGGCAUGGUCGCUGCUGGAAGAACUUGACUCGCGUAUGUGUACUGCUGGGAGCCACUAGCCCGGAGGCAAGCUGAAGAGUGCGUGUGUGUGUGUGUGUUGCUGAAUUAUCGGUAGGUCGCUGGUUUUAUUACUCGUAUCUGCCGGUUAUUGACGGGAGUGUAGUACUGUUCAUCUGGUAAGAGCUCAUUUUUUAGUUAUGGGUAACUGUAUUUGGUCUCUUUAGCCUAGGUUGGUCUGUGUGGUGGCGAUUAACUGUGGUUGCUACCUGGGGCUGGCUUAACGUAGCCUGUAUAUCCGUUGGGUAGGUGUUAUAAUGAAGUUUUUACUUCAUUGUUAUUUAUUGGGGCUCUAGUUACGGUAUGUGGGGGUUAAUGGUGUGUGCGUGUAUUAGUUGGAGCCUACUGAGUGAUUUUCUUGUUUUUGGGAUACAGUUACGGAGCCGGGGUGCUUCUACU